UGCCCCAACAAUUCUUACCUUUUUUGUGAUGUUUCUCUCAAAUAAAGAGUAAGAAUAGGAUUCUUAACUACAUAUAUAUUUAACUUUCAAGAGAUAGUCCUUCUGUCAGUAAAGCAUGGCUCAGGAAAAAGAAAGAGAGAGCUGUAAGGUUUCAUUAUAAUAUUAUCUCGUUCUAGGUCAGGAAGAAAGUCAGCCAUAAAAAAACCCCUGUGAUUUGUCUUUUUGCUCAAGGGACUGAACACCUUGGACACCUGAGAAAUUGCUUUUACUUACUAUGAUGAGCUGACUGGUAGAUUUCACUCAGGUGCUGCAAAGAAGUUGAAAAUGGCCUUUGUUUUCCUGAUUAUGAGGCUGUUGGCACGAGUAUGUGCGGCCUGGGACUCUUCACUACCUUCAGUCCAUGAGCCAGGUUGACCAGGCAACCACCGUUAGAACAUAGCUGGCUGCUGUGACGAGGAAGAGAAAGUGCGUGCGCGCAAACACAAGUGGAGAAGGAGCAGAG